CCUACGUGGGGCAGCAGUGAGGAAUAUUGGUCAAUGGGCGCGAGCCUGAACCAGCCAAGUAGCGUGAAGGAUGACUGCCCUACGGGUUGUAAACUUCUUUUAUAAAGGAAUAAAGUGAGGCACGUGUGCCUUUUUGUAUGUACUUUAUGAAUAAGGAUCGGCUAACUCCGUGCCAGCAGCCGCGGUAAUACGGAGGUUCCGAGCGUUAUCCGGAUUUAUUGGGUUUAAAGGGAGCGUAGAUGGGUUGUUAAGUCAGUUGUGAAAGUUUGCGGCUCAACCGUAAAAUUGCAAUUGAUACUGGCAGUCUUGAGUACAGUUGAGGUAGGCGGAAUUCGUGGUGUAGCGGUGAAAUGCUUAGAUAUCACGAAGAACUCCGAUUGCGAAGGCAGCUUACUAAACUGCCACUGACAUUGAUGCUCGAAAGUGUGGGUAUCAAACAGGAUUAGAUACCCUUGUAGUC
rnacentral:rRNA from 1 species